rnacentral:tRNA from 4 species
GAAAUAGCUCAGCUUGGUAGAGCGCUUGGUUUGGGACCAAGAUGUCGCAGGUUCGAAUCCUGUUUUCC